rnacentral:rRNA from 1 species
GAUGAACGCUGGCGGCGUGCCUAAUACAUGCAAGUCGAGCGAACAGACGAGGAGCUUGCUUCUCUGACGUUAGCGGCGGACGGGUGAGUAACACGUGGAUAACCUACCUAUAAGACUGGGAUAACUUCGGGAAACCGGAGCUAAUACCGGAUAAUAUUUUGAACCGCAUGGUUCAAUAGUGAAAGACGGUUUUGCUGUCACUUAUAGAUGGAUCCGCGCUGCAUUAGCUAGUUGGUAAGGUAACGGCUUACCAAGGCAACGAUGCGUAGCCGACCUGAGAGGGGGAUCGGCCACACUGGAACUGAAACACGGUCCAGACUCCUACGGGAGGCAGCAGUAGGGAAUCUUCCGCAAUGGGCGAAAGCCUGACGGAGCAACGCCGCGUGAGUGAUGAAGGUCUUCGGAUCGUAAAACUCUGUUAUUAGGGAAGAACAUAUGUGUAAGUAACUGUGCACGUCUUGACGGUACCUAAUCAGAAAGCCACGGCUAACUACGUG